rnacentral:lncRNA from 1 species
AACACCCUACUAUAGAAACCCAUAGCAUGGAAAGGGGCUCGGGUUGAGGACGCAUGUGAUACCCAGAGGAAUCACACAUCGCCAAUGGGAGGGUUGGAGGGAGGAGGGGAGGAAAAAAAAGGUGAUCUUUGCUUCUAAUGAACAACCUUUGAAAAUGACCAAAUAAAAUGUUUUUUUUUUUUUUUUAAAGAAAACUGUAUUUUUAGGACCAGUGCAACUGGAGAACUUCUUACUUUUGAUGAUCUCUUAGUCUAUAUUCCACAAAAGUCAGUUCUAUUUAGGAAGAUGUCUCAAAAAGGCACAUCAUGCAAGAUGGUCUUCUGUCAGUGCAUCCAAUGCCUCACAAUCGAUACCCAGGUUCUUCAGAGAGAUCUUGAGAGUGUCCUUGUAUCACAUCUCUGGUCCUCCAUAUGAGCAAUUGUCUUCUGUGCAACAAAUACCUAUUCGGCAGCUGCUAUGUACUAGACCAGGCAUGAAACACUAGAAGUACAAAACGAGACGAAGUUGGCCCUGCCUUUCGGAAGCUGACAUUGAAGGUAAUUCUUUCUUCUAUUCUUUUCCAUC